rnacentral:rRNA from 1 species
GACGAACGCUGGCGGCGUGCCUAAUACAUGCAAGUCGAACGAGAGCGACUGGUGCUUGCACUGGUCAAUCUAGUGGCGAACGGGUGAGUAACACGUGGGUAACCUGCCCAUCAGAGGGGGAUAACAUCCGGAAACGGAUGCUAAAACCGCAUAGGUCUUCGAGCCGCAUGGCUUGAAGAGGAAAAGAGGCGCAAGCUUCUGCUGAUGGAUGGACCCGCGGUGCAUUAGCUAGUUGGUGAGGUAACGGCUCACCAAGGCCGUGAUGCAUAGCCGGCCUGAGAGGGUGGUCGGCCACAUUGGGACUGAGACACGGCCCAAACUCCUACGGGAGGCAGCAGUAGGGAAUCUUCCGCAAUGGACGCAAGUCUGACGGAGCAACGCCGCGUGAGUGAAGAAGGUUUUCGGAUCGUAAAACUCUGUUGUUAGAGAAGAACAAGUGCUAGAGUAACUGUUAGCGCCUUGACGGUAUCUAACCAGAAAGCCACGGCUAACUACGUGCCAGCCGCCGCGGUAA